rnacentral:lncRNA from 1 species
UCCCUAGCACACUCAAGAGUGCAGCCCCUCUCUUAAUAUCUGCCAAGCGACCUCUUCACCUCUUCAUUCUUCACUAAAGAGUUCAGAUCACUGAAGAGCAGGAGAACUCCUACCCAUUGCUCUGUCAACUUCAAGGUAAGACUUGGCUUUAAUUCAUCCAACUCCUUCCACAUCUAUUCCUGCAUUGAUUAAGAGGAACAACAACCUUGAAUAUUUCAGAUUUUUCAAUUCAUUUAAUCCAACAACACCAGACAGCCAACAAAGCAAAACACUCAAGGUACUAUUACUAUUUCAUACUCGAUUUAGCCGCACUCAUAUCCAGUACAUGGUCAGUUAAGAAACACCAUAAAUAGGAGAAUAAGCAUAAUUGACAAACAAUACCAAUGUAUAGUAUGAGGAUGUGCAUAAGUCAGUUUACUUCCAUCAAGAACCAACAACAGCCUAUGACCUUUAUACGAGCUAAAUGCAGUAAGGAUUUCCUUGAUACAACAGCAAGUUCAUUGCUUAGUGCAAUUUAUUGCAUAACCCUUAUAUGAAAACCAAGAUUUCACAUUAGAGGUAUAAGAACUUAGCUUUUAGAGAGGGCGGGGGCUACUGCCCUGUUUGUUCGGGCCGAGGGACGUCGAGUGGGCGGCAACUCGCGGGGACAGCAGCGUCGGCGGCGUCGAGCGGUGAAAGGCAGACGACUCCCGAUCACAGCGAUGGCCCUCGCCGAUUUUGGAGUAGCAGCAGCGGCGGCGUACCCAUCGCCUGAAUCCAGCAGCAGUGCGGCUGCUCAAAC